rnacentral:rRNA from 1 species
AUUGAACGCUGGCGGCAGGCCUAAUACAUGCAAGUCGAACGCAGUGGGGACGGGUGAGUAACACGUGGGUAACCUCCCAUCAGAGGGGAUAACACUUGGAAACAGGUGCUAAACCGAUACUGAUGGAUGAACCCGCGGUGCAUUAGCUAGUGGGUGAGGUAACGGCUCACCAAGGCCACGAUGCAUAGCGGGCCUGGGAGGGUGAUCGGCCACACCGGAACUGAGACACGGCCAAGACUCCUACGGGAGGCAGCAGUAGGGAAUAUUCGGCAAUGGACGAAAGUCUGACCGAGCAACGCCGCGUGAGUGAAGAAGGUUUUCGGAGCGUAAAACUCUGUUGUUAGAGAAGCGGUAUCUAACCAGAAAGCCACGGCUAACUACGUGCCAGCAGCCGCGGUAAUAC